GCGGCCAUGGUUAAGUGGUAUAAUGAGUCCUUGCCAAGGAUUAGUCGGGGUUUCGAUUACCCCUGGCCGCACAA
rnacentral:tRNA from 1 species